GAUGAACGCUGGCGGCGUGCCUAAUACAUGCAAGUCGAACGCUGGAAAUCUAGCUUGCUAGCUUGAAGGAGUGGCGAACGGGUGAGUAAUACAUAAGCAACCUACCCACGAAGACUGGGAUAAUCUCUGGAAACGGGGACUAAUACCGGAUAGGUAAUCGGAAGGCAUCUUCUGAUUAUUAAAGGUUAAAAACACUGGUGGAUGGGCUUAUGGCGCAUUAGUUAGUUGGUGAGGUAACGGCCCACCAAGACGAUGAUGCGUAGCCGGCCUGAGAGGGUGAACGGCCAAAUUGGGACUGGGACACGGCCCAGACUCCUACGGGAGGCAGCAGUAGGGAAAUUUCGGCAAUGGGGGAAACCCUGAACGAGCAACGCCGCGUGAGUGAUGACGGCCUUCGGGUUGUAAAGCUCUGUUGUAAGGGAAGAACGGUAGAUAGAGAAUAUCUAAAUGACGGUACCUUACCAGAAAGCCACGGCUAACUACGUG
rnacentral:rRNA from 1 species